UACAGAGGUCCCAAGCGUUGUUCGGAUUUAUUGGGCGUAAAGGGUGCGUAGGCGGUCGCCUAAGUCAGAUGUGAAAUCCCGGGGCUCAACCUCGGAACUGCAUUUGAUACUGGGUGACUUGAGUACUGGAGGGGAGACUGGAAUUUACGGUGUAGCAGUGAAAUGCGUAGAUAUCGUAAGGAAGACCAGUGGCGAAGGCGAGUCUCUGGACAGUUACUGACGCUGAGGCACGAAGGCUAGGGGAGCAAACGGG
rnacentral:rRNA from 1 species